rnacentral:rRNA from 1 species
AUUGAACGCUGGCGGCAGGCCUAACACAUGCAAGUCGAGCGGAUGAAGGGAGCUUGCUCCUGGAUUCAGCGGCGGACGGGUGAGUAAUGCCUAGGAAUCUGCCUGGUAGUGGGGGAUAACGUCCGGAAACGGGCGCUAAUACCGCAUACGUCCUGAGGGAGAAAGUGGGGGAUCUUCGGACCUCACGCUAUCAGAUGAGCCUAGGUCGGAUUAGCUAGUUGGUGGGGUAAAGGCCUACCAAGGCGACGAUCCGUAACUGGUCUGAGAGGAUGAUCAGUCACACUGGAACUGAGAGACGGUCCAGACUCCUACGGGAGGCAGCAGUGGGGAAUAUUGGACAAAGGGCGAAAGCCUGAUCCAGCCAUGCCGCGUGUGUGAAGAAGGUCUUCGGAUUGUAAAGCACUUUUAGUUGGGAGGAAGGGCAGUAAGUUAAUACCUUGCUGUUUUGACGUUACCAACAGAAUAAGCACCGGCUAACUUCGUG